CUGAGCUACUGCUAGAUCCUUGGACUUUCAUAAACAGCUGCUACUGAGCAUUGUAGGGGAGUUGGACUACAGACUCAUCUCUACCAGGAGCAUUUAUCCUUUCACAUAAAUUAAUAGAAGCCACCCGGUAACCUCUCCUCACCGAGUGCAGUUCCAUGAAGGAUGCUGCUGAGAGACACAGGGUACAGCGAGCUCCCCAAGAUGGAGAUAAAGAAGGCAUCACCACAACAAAGUAGCACACUACAGAACAGGAGAAAAGUGGCAACAUAUCUGUGUUCACUUUCAUCCAGCACUGACUGCAAAGUGCCCUUCACUUGACCCAGCCCAUUAAUUUAAAAAUGCCUACAGCUAGAACUGAAUAUGGACGAGACUCUGGCAGUAGACAGUUCCAAACUGCAGGAUCGGGUGAGUUGCUGCAGUAUGCAUGAGCAACCAUGUUAUUUUUACC